rnacentral:rRNA from 1 species
ACAAAGCAGCCGCGGUAAUACGUAGGGUGCAAGCGUUAUCCGGAAUUAUUGGGCGUAAAGAGCUCGUAGGCGGUUUGUCGCGUCUGCUGUGAAAUCCCGAGGCUCAACCUCGGGCCUGCAGUGGGUACGGGCAGACUAGAGUGCGGUAGGGGAGAUUGGAAUUCCUGGUGUAGCGGUGGAAUGCGCAGAUAUCAGGAGGAACACCGAUGGCGAAGGCAGAUCUCUGGGCCGUAACUGACGCUGAGGAGCGAAAGGGUGGGGAGCAAACAGGCUUAGAUACCCUGGUAGUCCACCCCGUAAACGUUGGGAACUAGUUGUGGGGUCCUUUCCACGGAUUCCGUGACGCAGCUAACGCAUUAAGUUCCCCGCCUGGGGAGUACGGCCGCAAGGCUAAAACUCAAAGGAAUUGACGGGGACCCGCACAAGCGGCGGAGCAUGCGGAUUAAUUCGAUGCAACGCGAAGAACCUUACCAAGGCUUGACAUACACCA